rnacentral:lncRNA from 1 species
AUUUUACAGUAUUAGUCGAGAGAUUUUUUUUCCUUGAGAAAUUUUGGCAUGUACUGUACCUGAUAUAUAUCCAAAAUAAUCGAUGUCGAAUCGAAUUGGUAGUCGAAUAGAAUCGCAAGCUUGUGAAUGAGAAUCGAAUCGUGAAAUUUGUGUCAAAACCCAGCCCUGCUUACCAAGUACGUAGUUGUCAACCCCAGCAAAUCUAAAGUCUUGAAACUUUAUCAUCUCUUUAUUUUUAGAUAACCAGUCAGGACAAGACAGCUCAGGUGAUUCAGAGAGCUCUGGAGAAACACAACUUGGAGGAGAUGAACUGCCAAGACUUUAGUCUCACACAAGUGGUUUCUAAUGACAAAGAGUUGCUGAUUCCAGACAAAGCCAACGUGUUCUAUGCCAUGUGCACCACUGCCAACUUUGACUUUGUGCUUCGCCAGCGUUACAAAAAUCUCAGCAGAGCGCCUGGAUCAUCCUGGAGUCCCGGAGCAGUUCUGAGGUCCCGCAAGUAACAGCACCGUGAUGACAACCCACAACAUGGUGGUAUAAUACAGGAAAACUUGUUUUAAAAGUGAACAAAGACUAUAUAACCACAUGGACAACUGUGAUGAGCUGGUGACUACUGGAUGUCAAAGCUCUGAUACAUUUAAAAACAGACUGAUGGAUGCAUCAUUGAGCUCCGAAACACACUGGAGUCACAAUUUAUGACAUCAUCUCACCCCGUAAUGUAGCAAGGAAACUGUAGCUUUCUACAGCUGCCACAACGACAGUUCUGAUUUAAAACCAGUUAAAACUGGAGGAAAAAAGACUCCGAGGAUCUGAAAUGAAGACCUAGGGAAGUUGCAAUAAAUGGCCACAUCUACUGCCAGUUUAUUCAGAGGUUUUGCUUUGAAAUGAGAGGUCACGCAUGUGAUACCUGAGUUUUACUGAGAAACAUUUGUUUGUAUUUGGAUGAACACAUUUGUUUUAAAUAUGACCUACAAAUACAAGCUUUUAUGUAGCUAAUAUUCAGCGAUAGGUAAAAAGUGAAUAGAAAUGUAUAUUUAUGUUUUCUAAGUGACA